UUGAAAGGGAAACGAUUGAAGUCAGUCGUACCAGCGGGNAUCAACCUUUCGAGUGGGGGUUUUGGAGUUUUUUGAAGAGUGUCAAAACCUUUGAGAUUUCAAAAUAUUCGCUCUUUUGGUGUACUUUCUCGUGGGUAGGUUAACAUCGAUUUUGAUCAUCAUAAAAAGAUUGGAGGAAUGUAGCUUCGAUCUUGUAUUGAAGUGUUAUAGCCUUUGGUAAAUGUGAUGAUUAGGAUCGAGGAUUGCAACGAAUACCCUUUUGGGCUAUCCGCCUGAUCUCUGAUACGUGGCCUUGGUAUCGAAAGCGUGCUUAUGGUAUUGAGGUAUUACGGUCAAAGGGUUAGAACGGAUUACAUUCGUUAAGGAUGUUGACGUA
rnacentral:rRNA from 1 species